UGGGGAAUUUUGGACAAUGGACGAAAGUCUGAUCCAGCGACGCCGCGUGAAGGACGAAGGUUUUCGGAUCGUAAACUUCUUUUGCAGGGGACGAAAGAGCGCAAGCUUUUGACGGUACUCUGCGAAUAAGCCACGGCUAACUACGUGCCAGCAGCCGCGGUAAUACGUAGGUGGCGAGCGUUACUCGGAAUUACUAGGCGUAAAGCGAGUGUAGGCGGGAGCUUAAGUCGACUGUUAAAUCUCAUGGCUUAACCAUGAAAUGCCGGUUGAUACUGGGCUUCUUGAAUUCGGUAGAGGAAACUGGAAUUCCAGGUGUAGCGGUGAAAUGCGUAGAUAUCUGGAAGAACGCCAAAGGCGAAGGCAGGUUUCUGGGCCGCAAUUGACGCUGAGACUCGAAAGCUAGGGGAGCAAACA
rnacentral:rRNA from 1 species